rnacentral:lncRNA from 1 species
GAAAACAAACACAUGAGUUACUACAUUGUAAGGAAAUGAGUGGAACUUAAGGUCAUGUCUUUAUUAUGUUAAAUUGUUUAUGAACUUAUAUCAAUAAUCAUGGUGUAGGAGCUGGGCCUGGUGCUGAUGCUGGUGAUUCUGGUGGUGGUGUUGGUGAAAGUGAAGGUGCUGGUGUUGGUGAUGGUGGUGGCGGUGGCGGUGGUGGGGGAGGUUGUGUUCUUGGUGGUGGUGGAGGAGGUGUUCUUGGUGGUGGUGGCGGAGGUUUUCUUGGAGGUGGUGGUGGACGAGUUCUUGGAGGUGGGGGAGGAGGGGUUCUUGGCGGUGGUGGUGGUGGUGUUCUCGGUGGUGGUGGUGGAGGAGUUCUAGGUGGUGGUGGUGGAGGAGUUCUAGGUGGGGGUGGGGGUGGUCUUCUAGGGGGUGGUGGUGGUGGUUUUCUAGGUGGUGGUGGUGAAGCUUUUGGUGGUGGUGGUGGUGGAGGUGGAGAAUUUGGUGGUGGUGGAGGUGAACAAGCAUUUGGAGUAAAAUAAUAGGGUCCACAAGUGAACUUAUUAUUUCCAUUAUUGGUGCAUGUGCUUAAAGAUUGGCCACUUGAUCCACCAUUUAUGUCUGUUAAGAAAGAACACCCUCGGGGUGCUCUACUUGUAUCCACACUCACUCGACAACUCCCAAUAUCUGUUCCAGUUUUCACUAAUUCAAAGAUAUUAAAGUAUCCUUUACUAUUUGUAAAUGAUGAAUCACUGUCUCCUGGACAAACCAGGUUUACCUUGGCAUCUGAAAGAUUUAACAAGAUUAGAAAAAUACAGAAGAUAGAUAAUUAUUCUUACUGAAGAUGCCACUCUGAGAGAGUGAACCACAGUUAGUACAAUAAACAUAGCCAUCCACUUUGAUACUUGUAGUGGCAACACAAAAAUUCUCAUUUUUCAGAAUGAUUGCAAGUAAUAAAAUUAAAUAGAGAAAUGUUUUG